AUUUAUAGCUAAAUUUAUGUGUAUUUAUUUAUUUAUACUUUUUCUCAGAGCGAUAACGUUAUUUUCUUUUACUCAUGACGCAGAGCAGACAGGGAAGUUGGUUGUAUCAAGGAAAACACAGAAAAGACUGAACAUCAUCAAUAAAACACAAGUUUAGUUCCAACACCAAUUAAGCAGACCUGAGCAGCUGAUCAAGGAUCACCAGAAACUCUGCAGAACUUUGGUCCUCAAUGCCCAGACCCGCCUUGAAUGAGCUGUAACAGCCCGAUCGCCAUUGUUUCAAUGCUGGAACAGGGAUGUAGACAAUGGCUUCUAAGAGAUUGAGGUGUUCUGUUGUUGGAUGUAAUAAUGAACAUAGUAGUUGUCAUUUACUCCCGAAAUCUGAGCCGCUGAAGACACAGUGGAGGACUUUUGUUUGUGAUGGAAUGCACCUCCCGAUCUACAUAUAUUCAUCUAUGUUCGCACAAAUAAUUUGUGAUCCAGCUUCACUUACAGCAGAAUGUUUUGCAAACUCAUUUAGUGCUCCAGUGUCACGGUUUAGUCGUCGUGUGCGGGGAAUGAAGCAGGAGAAGUGCGGAGAUCCAACUAAAUGCAGUUUAUUUAAAUAAUCCACAGAGUACAUAAAACGAACACAGGGAAAACAGCAGGGAACCAGCAAACACUACGAACAUGAACGGAAUGACAAUGUAAUCGCCGACAAACAUGAACAUACAACCAAACCUUAAAUACACGGACACAA